rnacentral:rRNA from 1 species
AGUGAACGCUGGCGGUAGGCCUAACACAUGCAAGUCGAACGGCAGCACAGUAAGAGCUUGCUCUUACGGGUUGCGAGUGGCGGACGGGUGAGGAAUACAUCGGAAUCUACUUUUUCGUGGGGGAUAACGUAGGGAAACUUACGCUAAUACCGCAUACGACCUACGGGUGAAAGCAGGGGAUCUUCGGACCUUGCGCGAUUGAAUUAGCCGAUGUCGGAUUAGCUAGUUGGCGGGGUAAAGGCCCACCAAGGCGACGAUCCGUAGCUGGUCUGAGUGGAUGAUCAGCCACACUGGAACUGAGACACGGUCCAGACUCCUACGGGAGGCAGCAGUGGGGAAUAUUGGACAAUGGGCGCAAGCCUGAUCCAGCCAUACCGCGUGGGUGAAGAAGGCCUUCGGGUUGUAAAGCCCUUUUGUUGGGAAAGAAAAGCAGCAGGUUAAUACCCCACUGUUCUGACGGUACCCAAAGAAUAAGCACCGGCUAACUUCGUG